rnacentral:lncRNA from 1 species
GGAAAACUGUUUAAAAAUAAUGGAUUAUUUAUUGUUGUUGUUGCUUCCCAUCAGUCAGGACAUGGUUUCCAGCUGGUUGGCUUGGGCACUGGAAAGCAGGAGCUGCACUGGUUCUCCAAAGGAGCUCUGAGAGGGCUUGACAUAUCCUAUCUCACUGCCUAUACUGAAGAGGGCACAGGGCAUGCCUGCAGGAAGCAGCUCCCAAGCAGCACCUUGGGGUGCUUUUCUCCUUACAGCUGGAAGUGCUGCCUGGGAAAUGCACAGAAAUGCAAUGCAGCUCACAGGCUCUGUUGGCCAGCAGAUAUUUUUGUUGCAAACCAUGUCCCUUCACUGCAGAAGUGCAGUUGUGCAAAUGUUCCUCUCUUGACAAACACUGAAUUUGGCAAAUUGUUUCUUUUUAUGGUCUCACUGUGUUUAAUGGCCCUUUGUUUUUUAUUCCUGCUUCUGCCCCUAUUAGUUGCUUUUUCCGUGUCUUGCUCCCUUCAGCCAGCACCCUGGCCCUGCCCCUGUCUCCUGCCUGCUUGCCAGAGCAGUCUCUGGUAGGUAACCAGGCUUUGCAG